rnacentral:rRNA from 1 species
UAGGGAAUCUUCCACAAUGGGCGCAAGCCUGAUGGAGCAACACCGCGUGAGUGAAGAAGGGUUUCGGCUCGUAAAGCUCUGUUGUUAAAGAAGAACACGUAUGAAAGUAACUGUUCAUACGUUGACGGUAUUUAACCAGAAAGUCACGGCUAACUACGUGCCAG